rnacentral:rRNA from 1 species
AAUAGAUACCCGGGUAGUCCAUGCCGUAAACGUUGGGCACUAGGUGUGGGGGACAUUCCACGUUUUCCGCGCCGUAGCUAACGCAUUAAGUGCCCCGCCUGGGGAGUACGGGCCGCAAGGCUAAAAACUCAAAGGAAUUGAACGGGGGGCCCGCACGAAGCGGCGGAGCAUGCGGAUUAAUUCGAUGCAACGCGAAGAACCUUACCAAGGCUUGACAUGGACCGGAUCGCUGCAGAAAUGUGGUUUCUCCUUUGGGGCCGGUUCACAGGUGGUGCAUGGUUGUCGUCAGCUCGUGUCGUGAGAUGUUGGGUUAAGUCCCGCAACGAGCGCAACCCUCGUUCCAUGUUGCCAGCACGUGAUGGUGGGGACUCAUGGGAGACUGCCGGGGUCAACUCGGAGGAAGGUGGGGACGACGUCAAAUCAUCAUGCCCCUUAUGUCUUGGGCUUCACGCAUGCUACAAUGGCCGGUACAAAGGGUUGCGAUACUGUGAGGUGGAGCUAAUCCCAAAAAGCCGGUCUCAGUUCGGAUUGGGGU